rnacentral:lncRNA from 1 species
UUGUACGCCACAAAUUCGGUUCAGCAGUCUUUUAUCUUCUCAUAGCCGUUAUCAAAAUCUGGAGUCUUAUCUUGCAAGAUAAAAUCCUGGUGCAAUCUUUUCUUCGAGCCCCUGAAUAGAUCGACCAUCUUCUUAAGAGCCAACUCCUUGACUUUUUUCUUUGGGGCCUCUUUUCGCCUCUUCAUUUUCUCCUUAUUUGGCUCCUCCUCAUCUGGAUCCACCUCUGGCGCCGGCAAGGUGAAAUGAAGCAUGAGCUUUCUUCAAAGGUUUUCUUUGGCUACUGUGACGACAUAUGAGACUCCUUUCGUCCUUGGCUUAAGCCAUUCUCGAGUAGUGAUAGGGAUGUGGUCCCUAAUAACAACUCCACAUGCCUUCACAAAUUUCUUCUUUACAUCUGUGGGAGCAAUCGGUUGCCCGCCUUCUGAGACUCUUUCGAUCCUGUACCUCUCACCGUCA